GAUGAACGCUGGCGGCGUGCCUAAUACAUGCGAGUCGAGCGAACGGACGAGAAGCUUGCUUCUCUGAUGUUAGCGGCGGACGGGUGAGUAACACGUGGAUAACCUACCUAUAAGACUGGGAUAACUUCGGGAAACCGGAGCUAAUACCGGAUAAUAUUUUGAACCGCAUGGUUCAAAAGUGAAAGACGGUCUUGCUGUCACUUAUAGAUGGAUCCGCGCUGCAUUAGCUAGUUGGUAAGGUAACGGCUUACCAAGGCAACGAUGCAUAGCCGACCUGAGAGGGUGAUCGGCCACACUGGAACUGAGACACGGUCCAGACUCCUACGGGAGGCAGCAGUAGGGAAUCUUCCGCAAUGGGCGAAAGCCUGACGGAGCAACGCCGCGUGAGUGAUGAAGGUCUUCGGAUCGUAAAACUCUGUUAUUAGGGAAGAACAUAUGUGUAAGUAACUGUGCACAUCUGGACGGUACCUAAGCAGAAAGCCACGGCUAACUACGG
rnacentral:rRNA from 1 species